rnacentral:rRNA from 1 species
GACGAACGCUGGCGGCGUGCUUAACACAUGCAAGUCGAACGGAAAGGCCCUGCUUUUGUGGGGUGCUCGAGUGGCGAACGGGUGAGUAACACGUGAGUAACCUGCCCUUGACUUUGGGAUAACUUCAGGAAACUGGGGCUAAUACCGGAUAGGAGCUCCUGCUGCAUGGUGGGGGUUGGAAAGUUUCGGCGGUUGGGGAUGGACUCGCGGCUUAUCAGCUUGUUGGUGGGGUAGUGGCUUACCAAGGCUUUGACGGGUAGCCGGCCUGAGAGGGUGACCGCCCACAUUGGGACUGAGAUACGGCCCAGACUCCUACGGGAGGCAGCAGUGGGGAAUAUUGCACAGUGGGCGGAAGCCUGAUGCAGCAACGCCGCGUGCGGGAUGACGGCCUUCGGGUUGUAAACCGCUUUCGCCUGUGACGAAGCGUGAGUGACGGUAAUGGGUAAAGAAGCACCGGCUAACUACGUG